AACGAACGCUGGCGGCAUGCCUAACACAUGCAAGUCGAACGAAGGCUUCGGCCUUAGUGGCGCACGGGUGCGUAACGCGUGGGAAUCUGCCCUUGGGUUCGGAAUAACAGCGGGAAACUGCUGCUAAUACCGGAUGAUGACGUAAGUCCAAAGAUUUAUCGCCCAAGGAUGAGCCCGCGUAGGAUUAGCUAGUUGGUGGGGUAAAGGCACACCAAGGCGACGAUCCUUAGCUGGUCUGAGAGGAUGAUCAGCCACACUGGGACUGAGACACGGCCCAGACUCCUACGGGAGGCAGCAGUGGGGAAUAUUGGACAAUGGGCGAAAGCCUGAUCCAGCAAUGCCGCGUGAGUGAUGAAGGCCUUAGGGUUGUAAAGCUCUUUUAACCGGGAUGAUAAUGACAGUACCGGGAGAAUAAGCUCCGGCUAACUCCGUG
rnacentral:rRNA from 1 species